AUGGCGCCAACGGAGGGUGACGAGCAACCCCCGUUGCGCAUGCUCUUCUUCCGGUUCCUCCUCCCCGGCCACCUCAUCCCGAUGGCCGACAUGGCCGCGCUCUUCGCCGCCCGUGGCGUUAGGUGCACCAUCCUCACCACACCCUUGCAAGCUUCGACCAUCCGCUCCAUCGUCGACCGUGCCAACAUUUCCCUGGGGUCAGUGGAUGUUGUCGUCGUUCCUUUCCCCGACGUCGGGCUUCCCCCCAGCGCCGAGAGCGGGACUGGCCUAACAUCCAAGGACUACAACGACAGGUUCCUUCGGACGGCGGAGCUGCUCCAGGAGCCCUUCCGCCGCUUCCUGUCCAGCCACCACGCCGAGAUCGACGCCGUCGUCUCCGACGGCCUCUUCCACUGGUCCGAGAGACAAGCUGGCGGCUCUUCGAGUCGUGCCCAGCGAGCGAAUAUUCUCCUAAUAUCCGGAACGCGCUGGGACCUCCAAAUCGAAGGAACCACGCGGAACCGGUCGUCGCUCUUUCCUCUCCUCCCCGAAACCCAAUCGAGUCCUCUCUCGAGCAGCCGCCUCCCACUCGUCUCUCCCUCACCCGAUGUGCGCCAUCGGCGAACUCCUCUCGACUGCGCCGCCGGCAACUCGUCUCCUCCCCGAAACCCAAUCGAAUCCUCUCUCAAAGCCGCCUCCCACUUGUCUCUCCCUCACCCAAUCUGCGCCGCCGGCGACUUCCUGAAGAUCUGCGCCGCCGGCGACUCGUCUCUUCCUCUCUCGUGCGGCGGAUCGAGCGGCUGGGUGGUGGCAGUUUUGCUACGGGAGCGUCGGCGGGCUUGGUGCUAA
rnacentral:rRNA from 1 species